GAUCAUGGCUCAGAUUGAACGCUGGCGGCAGGCUUAACACAUGCAAGUCGAACGGUAACAGGGGAAAGCUUGCUUUCUUGCUGACGAGUGGCGGACGGGUGAGUAAUGCUUGGGAAUCUGGCUUAUGGAGGGGGGAUAACGACGGGAAACUGUCGCUAAUACCGCGUAGAAUCGAGAGAUGAAAGUGUGGGACCGCAAGGCCGCAUGCCAUGAGAUGAGCCCAAGUGGGAUUAGG
rnacentral:rRNA from 1 species